rnacentral:rRNA from 1 species
UAGCCGAGGCCGAAAGGCGUAGGUGAUGGACAUCCGGUUAAUAUUCCGGAACCACUCAAAUGGAGCGAUGAAGGGACGCGGCGUGGUAGGACAGCCUCUUAACGGAUUGAGGUGCCAAACGCGUAGGACGUUGAAGGGUGUAGGCAAAUCCGCACCCCGAGUCCGAAACGUGAUGGCGGUGCCUUAGAGCCACAAGUGAUUGAGCCAUGCCGCCAAGAAAAGCUUCUAAGCGUCGAGAUUUGAGUGACCGUACCGCAAACCGACACUGGUAGGUGGGUAGAAUAUACCAAGGGGAGCGAGAGAACCCUCGUUAAGGAAUUAGGCAAAUUUCCCCCGUACGUUCGCAAUAAGGGGGGCCUCUGGCGGUUAGCUUAGGCAAAGCUGCUGGAGGCCGCAGAGAAAUGGCUCUUCCAACUGUUUAACAAAAACACAGGUCUCUGCUAAGUCGAAAGACGAAGUAUAGGGGCUGACGCCUGCCCAGUGCUGGAAGGUUAAGGGGAGAGGUUAGGGGUAACCCGAAGCUUUGAGCCGAAGCCCCAGUGAACGGCGGCCGUAACAAUAACGGUCCUAAGGUAGCGAAAUUCCUUGUCGGGUAAGUUCCGACCCGCACGAAUGGCGUAAUGAGAGGAGCACUGUCUCAACGAGGGACUCGGCGAACAUUGAAGGACGUGUGAAGAUACACGUGACCCGCAGCGGGACAAAAAGACCCCGUGAAGCUUUACUACAACUUGCCAUUGAGUUAGGGCUAAACCUGUGUAGCAUAGGUGGGAGGCUUUGAAGCUGGGACGCCAGUCUCGGUGGAGCCACCGUUGAAAUACCACCCCGGUUUAUUCUUGGCUCUAACCUGUCGCCGUUAUCCGGCAUGGGAACAGUGGCUGGUGGGUAGUUUGACUGGGGCGGUCGCCUCCGAAAGCGUAGCAGAGGCGCCCAAAGGUUCCCUCAGGCUGAACGGAAACCAGCCGUUAAGUGUAAAGGCACAAGGGAGCUUGACUGCAAGACCUACAAGUCGCGCAGGGACGAAAGUCGGGCUUAGUGAUCCCACGGUUCAGAGUGGAAUGGCCGUGGCUUACCGGAUAAAAGCUACUCCGGGGAUAACAGGGUAGUCUGGUCCAAGAGUUCAUAUCGACGACCAGGUUCGCCACCUCGAUGUCGGCUCAUCACAUCCUGGGGCUGGAUAGGGUCCCAAGGGUUGGGCUGUUCGCCCAUUAAAGUGGUACGUGAGCUGGGUUCAGACCGUCGUGAGACAGGUCGGUCUCUAUCCGCUGUGGGCGUAAGGGAUUUGAGAGAAGCUGCCCCUAGUACGAGAGGACCGGGGUGGACGGACCUCUAGUGUGCCAGUUGUUCUGCCAAGAGCAUUGCUGGGUAGCUACGUCCGGCAGAGAUAACCGCUGAAAGCAUCUAAGUGGGAAACUCGUCUCAAGAUUGGAUCCCUCCUCUUUAUGAGAUAAGACCGCUGGAAGACUACCAGCUUGAUAGGCGGCAGGUGUAAGCAUAGUAAUAUGUUCAGCUUAGCCGUACUAAUGGUCGAAAGGCUUACAU